CCUCUUCUCCUUCAUACCUUCUGCUGCCAUAACCCAGCCCAAACCUCAUCAUAAAUGAACCCUCAUGGUCCCCCCUCCUCUCCUUUCUCUCUUCCACGUCAUCAAGACCAUAACGAUCUCUGUCAGAAGAAGAUAUUCCAUUUUUCCCCUUUCCACGCGCUCUUGCUUCCCUUGGAUGAAAUUCGGAUUAAUGGUAGACGUAGGAUUCGAAAACUUUAAAUCCUAGUCUUCCAUUUGUCUUAGAACCAUCCAGAAAGAAGAACAAGAGGGGAUUUUCGUUUGGGGGCCGGGGAUUUUCGGAAUUUAUUGAAGGGCAAAUUCGGGUUUUUGGAGAGAUUUCUUGUUGAAGAAGGAGAAGCUUCGAGAGGGAGCUAUAUAUUUGGGGUCUGGACAUAGAUAGGGGGUUUUUCUUGUUUUUUUGGGGUUUUAUUUUUUUUUCGGAGAAAAUUGACGAAAAGAGAGGAGGCUUUGUUCUUAGCUUUUGGAUUUUUCUUUUUUGUUUUCCUUUGAAUUCCAUAGAGAAGAUAUAAAAAAUACCAAAAAAUUUCAGUUCUGUCAUUUUUCUUAAUUUGUUACAAAGGACAGAAAAUUCAAAAAGAAAGGGUUUUGUUCUUCUUCUGGAAUUCAACUGAGGUAUUAGGAGUUUGAUUGACAGGUCUUGCCGUUCGAAGUCGAGUUCGCGGUUCCUGUUCAAUCUAGUUGCUGCUUUUCUCAUUCGGAUUUUGGAUUCAGAGCAUUGUAGCUGGUUCUCUUAAUUAUCCGCUAUUAAGAAGGAACUCGCAUUCUCAGGUAUGGACCCGCUGAUUCGAUCCAAAGUGCUUAUGGUAGUAAAGAUUCCUAGGAAGCUGAUCAAGUGGUGGAAAAUGUUUUCAUCGUUAGAGCAGCAUGAGUUAAUGCAGAAAUUGGGCACCCCAACUUCCCUUCUCGAUAUCACACCCCACCCAGACAUAGUGGAGGCGAUGCUGAUUUAUUGGGAUCCGCAAAAUUUGAUUUUCAGAUUUGGAGAGUGUGAGAUGACCCCUACCUUGGUAGAAAUGUCUGGUCUCACUCGUUUAAGCUAUAUAUGCAAGGACAUGAUACUUCCCCGAGACCACUCUAGGACAAGAUUCCUCAGUGACCUGGGCCUGAAAGAUAAUAAGCAUUUAAAGUGUCUCGAGCAGUCCUGGAUAUCCUUGGAUUAUUUGUUUGCUAGAUUUGGACCAUAGGAUAGUUUUGACGUCUUUUGGGAUGAGUUCUGCACAACCAAGGCAAAGUGGCAGAGACGUCGCCUCGAAGCUUUCAGCCUUUCUUUGUUGAGAUUAUUGGUUUUUCCAUUAGAUGAGAGGCACAUUAGCACCCGUCUGCAGUCAGUGGUAAUGGAACUAUUUCAUGAGAAGCAACGCAAAACCGUUACUGUUGUGCCGAUGAUCUUAGCAGAGUUGUACCGAGCCUUGAGUGAGGUUAGGGAGGUGUCAGAUAUUUUGAGGGAAACAACCUUUUGCUACAACUGUGGAUGAUGGAGCAUUUUCACACCGCUUCCUUACUUUGUCCCAUCGACCGGGCCUUGAGGGAUUGGGUGGUAUGCAUCGAACGUAGGAUGAAAUCUCUUAAGUUUACGUACCCAGUAGGUGUCACGGCUUGGAUUGAGUUCCUUGGUUUGAGGACAAAUGGGAAUAUUUUGUGGUCUUACCUUUGGCUGCCUUUGGAUGAUAUCUUGAUAGGGUGCCUCAUGCAGCCUUUCCUGAUGCUGAUAGGACUCAAGUGUGUUAGGUCGUACACUCCCGUUAGGGUAAUGCGGCAAUUGGGCAGAAGACAAGAGGAGCCUCCAACUUUGAAUCUUCGAAGGCACAUCAUAAAUUUUAGUAAAAAGGCGGCUGAUGAAAUCAAGUAUGUGCAAUAUUGGAACAAUGCAAAGAGGAUGAAGAAAAAUACAUUAGUAGAGGACGUUGGCAGGCUCGAGUUUACUCAAGAGUACUUGAUUUGGUUACAGUCCGUUCCACCAGGGUCAGCACCCUAUUGCCAGCACAACUUAGGGGUCGGGCAGUUCAGACAGAUGAUUUUGAGGAGGUAUCUGACCAAGAUCCCUGUGAUAAGCUUGAGUUGAUAAAGUCUCAGUUAGCGGGAUUGGUAACAAACGUGGAGCAGCAUGGCCAGUAUUUGUUUAGGGUCGACCUUCAGGAUGCGGGGGCAUACGCCAGGACCUUUAUUCCCAGCAUCAGUGUUUCUUUACGAGGCAUGUUACAGAGUUUGAGCAUGACGGACAUCCCAGGAUCAUCCCAGCCAAAACCAUCGCAUUCAGGAGCAGCUUGAGGAGUCAUUCUAUUUAGGUGUUUUGAGAUUGUCGUUUGUUGUCUUUUACUUUCGUGUCUUGUCUAGAAGUACUGAGUCCUUUAGGUGGUGUCAAAGUCUGUCGUAGUGUAGUUGAGUCUGUCAGGUCUUUUAUUAUCGCACUUCCCAUUGUAUUUUAAUAUCGAAAAGUUUUUAAAUGAAAAAUCCCAAAAAGAUUUUGUUUUUAAUUUAUUUUCUAUCGCUUUUACAGAACUACGCUUGGUCUGAUUCAUGAGGGGCAUGAUACGUAAGCAACCUACAUUGGGUUUGAUCAAAUCAUUUUUGGUUCAAAAUAAAAAGAGAAAGAGAAAGAAAAGAGUGAUAAGAGGUGUUGGAAAAGAAAGAGAAGGAAGGAUUGAAAUGAGCAAAUCAGGAUGAUGCCAUAUGACCCUGCGACCUUCAAAGCCAUUUUAGAACCAUUAAUUAUUGCUAGAUGCAUUGCACGUAAUGUGAUAUUAUUAUUUUAUAAAUGCUCUAACACUAACAUGGUGGUUUUGUGUUGUU